CGUAGAUAACCUGCCUGUAUGACCGGGAUAACAGUUGGAAACGACUGCUAAUACCGGAUAGGCAGAGAGGAGGCAUCUCUUCUCUGUUAAAGUUGGGACACAACGCAAACAGAUGGAUCUGCGGUGCAUUAGCUAGUUGGUGAGGUAACGGCCCACCAAGGCGAUGAUGCAUAGCCGGCCUGAGAGGGCGAACGGCCACAUUGGGACUGAGGCACGGCCCAAACUCCUACGGGAGGCAGCAUG
rnacentral:rRNA from 1 species